AACUUCAUUUUCUCUUCUUCAAAUUUCAAAAAGAACUUUAUUUUCUCUUCUUCGAAAACCCUCCCUUCACAGCUUCUCUCUCAUUUCUAAUUCCUUCGUCUUUCUUCUCAACUGCAAAUCUCUCUCUCCUCCUCCCCUUCUCUCUCGCUCUCUUGUCUCCUUCGUCUUCCUCAUCUUCACUCUUCCUAUCUCUCAAUUUCCAUUCUCUAAAACGAAGCAUGCACCCAAGAAACCCUAUUUUGCUAUAUACCCAUGUCGCCGAUCCACUGCCAUCUUCUAUUCCUAGCGCUAACGGCGCCGGAAUCAAGGGCGGGAGACCCCUCGGAAACCUACGUCGUCUUCCAAAGAAAAUGCUUCACCGUCCGAUCCCAAUUCCACGGUUCCCGAUUCCAAACCCUCGCCGACUAAGGUGAAGAGCCUGCUCCCUCUUCCGACCCACUUAAGCGGAAGCUCAGUAUGGAGACCGUUCUUGAGAAUUCCAUCCCUGGGUUGUCUGAUUCUAUUGCGAAGAUUAGAGAAGAUGUAAAAUCUGGUGUAGGAAAUUUAACAGAGGUGUGUGUAUCCACAAUGGCAGAUGUUACUCGGCUUCUAAUGAAGAUCGGUGGAACUGACUUCCGUAUGCGGUUGAAAUCAUAAACUCAAGAUUAAUCAUCAAGUUUUGGACCUUGUUAAGUGAAAUUAGUUCUAUUACUAAAGCAUAUAAAAAAGAUAAACUUUAAUAAAGAUUAAAAAAUGUUUGACACUUUAUAGUCUUGAUUUGUGUCAUAGACUUCUUAAAGCAUGAAGUCUCUUAUCAUGAUACUGUGAAAAAUUGCAUGCCUUUAGUAGUUCAUGGUCUCCACUGUUCUUCCUUUUCAUGGUUAACCUUUUAAAAUGAAUUGAAUACAAUUUUAAACACCAUCUUUAUAAUCUCAGAAUAAUUAUGCAGGGUUUAUCAGAAUAAUUAUGUUUGUUUUUCAGAUAUACUGAAUAUUACUUUGAUUACUCGUUCAUUUUGAUUUCUU